rnacentral:rRNA from 1 species
GAUGAACGCUGGCGGCGUGCCUAAUACAUGCAAGUCGAGCGAACAGACGAGGAGCUUGCUCCUCUGACGUUAGCGGCGGACGGGUGAGUAACACGUGGAUAACCUACCUAUAAGACUGGGAUAACUUCGGGAAACCGGAGCUAAUACCGGAUAACAUGUUGAACCGCAUGGUUUAACAGUGAAAGACGGUCUUGCUGUCACUUAUAGAUGGAUCCGCGCCGCAUUAGCUAGUUGGUAAGGUAACGGCUUACCAAGGCAACGAUGCGUAGCCGACCUGAGAGGGUGAUCGGCCACACUGGAACUGGGACACGGUCCAGACUCCUACGGGAGGCAGCAGUAGGGAAUCUUUCGCAAUGGGCGAAAGCCUGACGGAGCAACGCCGCGUGAGUGAAGAAGGUCUUCGGAUCGUAAAACUCUGUUAUUAGGGAAGAACAAAUGUGUAAGUAACUAUGCACGUCUUGACGGUACCUAAUCAGAAAGCCACGGCUAACUACGUG